rnacentral:sRNA from 1 species
GCUAGGUGUGGUGGUGCACACCUGUAAUCCCAGUGGCCAGGAGGCUAAGGCAGGAAGAUUUGUGAGUUCAAAGCCAGCCUCAG